rnacentral:rRNA from 1 species
GGGUUGUGAGGUUAAGCGACUAAGCGUACACGGUGGAUGCCCUGGCAGUCAGAGGCGAUGAAGGACGUGCUAAUCUGCGAUAAGCGUCGGUGAGGUGAUAUGAACCGUUAUAACCGGCGAUUUCCGAAUGGGGAAACCCAGUGUGUUUCGACACACUAUCAUUAACUGAAUCCAUAGGUUAAUGAGGCGAACCGGGGGAACUGAAACAUCUAAGUACCCCGAGGAAAAGAAAUCAACCGAGAUUCCCCCAGUAGCGGCGAGCGAACGGGGAGGAGCCCAGAGCCUGAAUCAGUGUGUGUGUUAGUGGAAGCGUCUGGAAAGGCGCGCGAUACAGGGUGACAGCCCCGUACACAAAAAUGCACAUAUUGUGAGCUCGAUGAGUAGGGCGGGACACGUGGUAUCCUGUCUGAAUAUGGGGGGACCAUCCUCCAAGGCUAAAUACUCCUGACUGACCGAUAGUGAACCAGUACCGUGAGGGAAAGGCGAAAAGAACCCCGGCGAGGGGAGUGAAAAAGAACCUGAAACCGUGUACGUACAAGCAGUGGGAGCCUCUUAAUGGGGUGACUGCGUACCUUUUGUAUAAUGGGUCAGCGACUUAUAUUCUGUAGCAAGGUUAACCGAAUAGGGGAGCCGAAGGGAAACCGAGUCUUAACUGGGCGUUAAGUUGCAGGGUAUAGACCCGAAACCCGGUGAUCUAGCCAUGGGCAGGUUGAAGGUUGGGUAACACUAACUGGAGGACCGAACCGACUAAUGUUGAAAAAUUAGCGGAUGACUUGUGGCUGGGGGUGAAAGGCCAAUCAAACCGGGAGAUAGCUGGUUCUCCCCGAAAGCUAUUUAGGUAGCGCCUCGUGAAUUCAUCUCCGGGGGUAGAGCACUGUUUCGGCAAGGGGGUCAUCCCGACUUACCAACCCGAUGCAAACUGCGAAUACCGGAGAAUGUUAUCACGGGAGACACACGGCGGGUGCUAACGUCCGUCGUGAAGAGGGAAACAACCCAGACCGCCAGCUAAGGUCCCAAAGUCAUGGUUAAGUGGGAAACGAUGUGGGAAGGCCCAGACAGCCAGGAUGUUGGCUUAGAAGCAGCCAUCAUUUAAAGAAAGCGUAAUAGCUCACUGGUCGAGUCGGCCUGCGCGGAAGAUGUAA